UACAGAGGGGGCAAGCGUUAUUCGGAUUUACUGGGCGUAAAGGGCGCGUAGGCGGUCGUGACAAGUCACUUGUGAAAUCUCCGGGCUUAACUCGGAACGGUCAAGUGAUACUGUCGGACUAGAGUACAGAAGGGGCAACUGGAAUUCUCGGUGUAGCGGUGAAAUGCGUAGAUAUCGAGAGGAACACCUGCGGCGAAGGCGGGUUGCUGGGCUGAUACUGACGCUGAGGCGCGAAAGCCAGGGGAGCGAACGGG
rnacentral:rRNA from 1 species